CCAUUCAUGUGCUGCUGAACGGACCUGUCCAUGCAGGAUUCCGAUUUCCUGGGUGAGCCCCAGUGACACAGCCCUCUCACUACCUUACUUGACCUACCAGUCACUUAUCCUCUCAGGUUAACCAUUACCUACUACCAUACCACCCCCUGGUCCCCAGGCCUCUCCAGUUAUUUGUGCCCAAGUGCCCUCAUGCAUAUUCCACCGGGUGAGCCCUGAGUGUUGAUUCC